GAUGAACGCUGGCGGCGUGCCUAAUACAUGCAAGUCGAACGCAUUGUGGUUGAAAUGAUAUGAAGAACUUGUUCAGAUUUGAUUUUCAACAUUGCAAUGAGUGGCGAACGGGUGAGUAACACGUGGGAAACCUACCUCUUAGCAGGGGAUAACAUUUGGAAACAAAUGCUAAUACCGUAUAAUAAUUAAAACCGCAUGGUUUUAGUUUAAAAGAUGGUCUUGCUAUCACUAAGAGAUGGUCCCGCGGUGUAUUAGUUAGUUGGUGAGGUAAUGGCUCACCAAGACAAUGAUACAUAGCCGAGUUGAGAGACUGACCGGCCACAAUGGGACUGAGACACGGCCCAUACUCCUACGGGAGGCAGCAGUAGGGAAUCUUCCACCAAUGGACGAAAGUC
rnacentral:rRNA from 1 species